GUGCCAGCAGCCGCGGUAAUACGGAGGGUGCAAACGUUGCUCGGAAUUAUUGGGCGUAAAGCGUACGUAGGCGGCCUAGCAAGUCGGGAGUGAAAGCCCUCGGCUCAACCGGGGAAGUGCUUUCGAAACUACUAGGCUUGAAUACUGGAGAGGGUUGCGGAAUUCCCGGUGUAGAGGUGAAAUUCGUAGAUAUCGGGAGGAACACCAGUGGCGAAGGCGGCAACCUGGACAGAUAUUGACGCUGAUGUACGAAAGCGUGGGGAGCAAACAGGAUUAGAAACCCGUGUAGUCC
rnacentral:rRNA from 1 species